UCCCUGGUGGCUCAGAUGGUAAAGAAUCUGCCUGCAAUGCAAGAGACCCAGGUUCGAUUCCUGGGUCGGGAA
rnacentral:tRNA from 1 species